CGAAAAAUGCAUAAAAAUAAGGCUAUAAAUUGCUUACCAACACACAAACCAUUCACAAUUGCUAAAUUGGGCUAAAAUAGAAGACUCCGUGUGAUACUAAAUGAAGAGCCAUUUGGGAGCCGUAAGAGCCGGCUCUUCUAAGGGAGCCGAUCCAAAAGAGCCGAAUCUUUGAAAAGAGCCGGACUUCCCAUCACUGGGCGUUACCAAAGACAACUUUGGCUUUAAGUUACUUACUAGGAGAGUAUGAGACUGGUUUAUACAUUGCGCUCAUUCAGCCGCAGCCUCUCAUAUACAGCAUCAUCAUGGAUACCGCGCUAUUGUUUCUUGCUUAUUUGUUCUCGUGCUUUUCUCUCAUCGAGGGAAAGUCACCCGAAGGUGAAGCGUGUGUUGGGAUUCGGAGAGAAGAUUCAUCCUAUGACUUUGAGCUGCCCAACGCUGUAGCCGUGAACAUGCAAAACCCUACGUGUGAUGCGGAGUGGACCAUUGACCAAUUCACAGCAAUUCUGGAUGGAAAUUCAACUCACUUUUCUCAUCCCUUCAAAAAAGUAACUCGUCAGGGAAUCAGUGUGUCUUACUGUCCAACUUCAGUCAGAUUCCACGUCUCUUGUCCAGUGAGUUCAAUAACAAUUAUUCAUCUUUUCAGAACAGAUUUACUGCUCUUUAUUUUAAGGAUUGCAUAUACUGUACAAAUUAAUGCUUUUUGAUUCUCUUGUAGAUAUACACCAAUGACCUCACAUGUUGUUGCACAAAUUCCACCAACAAUCCAGUUUUUAGCACAACCCUGCCAUUUAGAGGUAUUAAACGUCAUUACCUUUAAAUCUGAAUCAUGUUACUAAAUCCUGUUACUUUUGCAACACUGAAAUGAAAUAACCUAAAACGUUUAGUCCAGUGUUGGAGUAGUUGGAGUUUUCUUUAGAGUGUACAGCAAAUAUACCUUCAGGAAAUGGUGGUAGGGAUAUAGUAUGUGGUGAUAUUAGAGAAAGAUUUUGCAAAUGCAUGUACUGACUUUUUGUAUAAUAUAACUACAUUUACAGAUAUGUCCUCCUUUGCCAUCAAAACUGAUUCAUCAGUGAGGCAACACUGUAAGUAUAGUCUGUAAAAUAAAUAUAAAUGACCAAGUACCCAGCAUUUGGAAAAAGUGAUCAGGCAAUAACAUUUUACUAGUUUACUACCGUCUCAUUGGUUGAAAUACAGUAUGAUAAAUGGCAAAAAUGUAGGGCUAAACUUUCAUAGACAUUGCCAAUCAGUAUGAUCACCAUUUUACCAUCAAAAUAUACCUGCAUAGCAAGCUUAUUGCAAAUCACAUGCACACUGUUUCUUACCAGACUUCACUGUCUUUGGUUGCAGUUCAGAGAUUCCACACAAAACGGAAGAAUAUCAGUAGUAAUAAUUAGCCCCAUUUCAUUGUUGGUCGAGGUUAUGGAACCAAAGACUGCAAAAAUAAUGCAAGUUCUCGCUCUCUAGUUUUGCUAAACCUUGUAAAAAUCACUAUCCUGAAAUUCCUGUUUCGCAAGCCACUCCUAAAAACUCAGCGUUUAAGUUCAAUGCCAAAACUCAGUUGAGCAAUCUCAAAGAGCAAACCGAUCUAAGUACA
ensembl:lncRNA